AAGACUGUGCUUCAGAGGAUCAUUUCUGUAGGCAAGUUUUCACCACAAGUUUUUUCCGAAUGGAAAAGAUUUCCCUCCCACGAUGAUGAGACAUUGUGACUAGUCUGGAGCGUGAAAUUUGAUUCAGAGUUGCUUUAUCGGCUUUCGGUGGAGCCACGAAUCGCUGAUGAUCGGGCUCGUUUGCAUAGACUAGUCGCUGUCUGAGUGGU